UCUGUUCUAACUUGGAAAAGGAUCUUGUAUGGCCUGGAACAAGGCAGAAUUAGUGGCUUUUUACUCAUCUUCUGGGUGUUCAGCUCCUCUCUGUCAGGGCUGGAGACUGCAGGACAGAAUGUAACAGCUGGAUAGAGUCUGGGGCAUGAAGAAGGAGGAAAAGGAUGCAGGAAAGAAUUUAAGAGGCAAAGUGGAUGUGAUAAAGGAACGAGAAGAUCAUGAGAAAAGAUGAAAAAGAGAACAGUGACUGACCC
rnacentral:lncRNA from 1 species